UAAAGACUACUUUAGCUUCCGAGAUCUGGUUGCGGUUCUAGUUCUUAUACUCCAUCAUACACAUGUCAUCUAGUCUAUUUGACUCCAAAACGAUAAUCAAGAUUCUACUGUGUUCUUAGUGUACAUUUGCUCCUAAACACU
rnacentral:sRNA from 1 species